UACGAAGGGGGCUAGCGUUGUUCGGAUUUACUGGGCGUAAAGCGCACGUAGGCGGAUCGUUAAGUCGGGGGUGAAAUCCUGGAGCUCAACUCCAGAACUGCCUUCGAUACUGGCGAUCUUGAGUCCGGAAGAGGUGAGUGGAACUCCUAGUGUAGAGGUGGAAUUCGUAGAUAUUAGGAAGAACACCAGUGGCGAAGGCGGCUCACUGGUCCGGUACUGACGCUGAGGCGCGAAAGCGUGGGGAGCAAACAGG
rnacentral:rRNA from 1 species